CAGCGAUGCAGGCCCCGGGCCGGCCGCGGCGCCGUUGACCUGGGCCGGGAACGCUGGGCACUUACGUCGCACCUUUAGCGGCCGGUCCGGAGCAGCGGCCCCUCGGGCUGCGAGGCGUCGGCAGUGGCCCCUCCCCGGUCCGGGGCUCUUCCCUGGCCGCCCGCGGCCGGGAUCCGCCGCUGCGAGCGCGGGCCGCGGCCACGUCCGUAGCGUCAUCCCCGCAUCCCUCAAGAUCGCUCACUGCAAACACAACCCCGAGAGAUGGCGCAGGUGAGCAGGCUCUCCUUCUUAGCACAUUCAGCAAGAACGCACAAGGAAGCUAAGGACCUCUGUUCGUUGUCCUCUCCAAACAAGGGAGCCAAAGCACGGACUAUAAAACCUGCGAGCCUGCUGAUCGAGGCCCAGCUGCAACUUCAGUUCCCAGGACAGCAAAAUUCUAAAUUAAGCACUUCAUUUUCUGUUUUAAAGUUCAAAUCUGUUAUACAACAUGUAUGAUUUAUCCAUGCUCUGGGAGUCUUCAAUAACACUUCGUGUUUGUACAGAGGGAUUAGUUUUAGUUACUGUGUUCUAUUUGCUGUGCUGGAAAGCAGCUUUCAGCCUUCCCCAGAAGCUCUAGAAAUCUAUAUUUCUCUCUAUAUUUUUCACUAGCUUUGCUUUGCUCCAAAGAGAGGAGGUCAUUUGGGUACCAGUUUAAUUCAGUUCAAUGAGUAUUUAGAGAGGAUCCAGUUGGGCCUCUACUGUGGGAGAUAAAGUGGACGUGUAAGACACAACCCCGGAGUUCCCGUCAUGGCGCAGCAGUUAACGAACCCGACUAGUAUCCGUGAGGACUCGGGUUCGACCCCUAGCCUUGCUCAGUGGGCUAAGGAUCUCACACGCUCUGAUCCCCAUU